rnacentral:rRNA from 1 species
UACGGAGGGGGCUAGCGUUGUUCGGAAUUACUGGGCGUAAAGGGCGCGUAGGCGGCUCGUCGAGUCGGAUGUGAAAGCCCCGGGCUCAACCCGGGAUGUGCAUUCGAUACUGGCGGGCUCGAGUCCGGGAGAGGAUGGCGGUAUUCCCAGUGUAGAGGUGAAAUUCGUAGAUAUUGGGAAGAACACCGGUGGCGAAGGCGGCCAUCUGGACCGGCACUGACGCUGAGGCGCGAAAGCGUGGGGAGCAAACAGG